AUUGAACGCUGGCGGCAUGCCUUACACAUGCAAGUCGAACGGCAGCACGGGAGCAAUCCUGGUGGCGAGUGGCGAACGGGUGAGUAAUAUAUCGGAACGUACCUUUCAGUGGGGGAUAACGUAGCGAAAGUUACGCUAAUACCGCAUAUUCUGUGAGCAGGAAAGCAGGGGAUCUUAGGACCUUGCGCUGAUUGAGCGGCCGAUAUCAGAUUAGCUAGUUGGUGAGGUAAAGGCUCACCAAGGCGACGAUCUGUAGCGGGUCUGAGAGGAUGAUCCGCCACACUGGAACUGAGACACGGUCCAGACUCCUACGGGAGGCAGCAGUGGGGAAUUUUGGACAAUGGGCGCAAGCCUGAUCCAGCCAUGCCGCGUGAGUGAAGAA
rnacentral:rRNA from 1 species